rnacentral:misc_RNA from 1 species
GAUGAAGAACGCAGCAAAAUGCGAUACUUGGUGUGAAUUGCAGAAUCCCGUGAACCAUCGAGUUUUUGAACGCAAGUUGCGCCCGAAGCCUUUUGGCCGAGGGCACGUCUGCCUGGGCGUCACGCAUCGCGUCGCCCCCCACAAUUCUCCGUAAAGGGAACGUGUGUUUUGGGGGCGGAUAUUGGUCUCCCGUGCUCAUGGUGUGGUUGGCCGAAAUAGGAGUCCUUUCGAUGGACGCACGAACUAGUGGUGGUCGUAAAAACCCUCGUCUUUUGUUUCGUGCUGUUGCUCGCAAGGUAAACUCUUUAAAAACCCCAAUGUGUCGUCUCUUGACGACGCUUCGACCGCGACCCCAGGUCAGGCGGGACUACCCGCUGAGUUUAAGCAUAUCAAUAAGCGGAGGA